GCCAGAAGAGAGCAGCAGAGACUUUUACAUCUUCAUAUCUCUUCCAUUUCGCAGUUUCCCAUAUCCUCUUGAGACCCUGGUUUUCCCAUUAAAAAACCAUGUCAUCUAUACACUAUCUAAUUUGCAUGUGAAUAUUGUGUUGUGACGGCAUGUAGAAAUAAGUUUUCAGAUUUUAUUUCAGAUUUUCAUAAAAUAUUUCAUAAGAAUAUAAUUAAUUUUCCUAUUCAAAUGCUUUGUCUCCCAAAAUGUGUAAUUUAUCAUGCUUUUAGUCCUUUUGUCCUCUACAGAGUUUGUGUAUGAAAUGACCGGUUUCAUAACAGGAAGUUAUUUGCUUUGAAACCCUAAAAUUUUCCUGAGACGUUGUUUUUAUGAAAAACAAAUUAAUCAGGGAAAAAAAAAAAAAAUUUUUUUAUCCCAUUUCCAUAAGGAUGUACGUUAGGCCUACAAUUUUAUGGAUCCAUCCUCCAUUUGGUAAAAAGCCCUGAAUGUGCCCUUUACAGGACAUCCAGAUUAAACCUGUAACAUAUGAUCUCGGUUGCCUAUUGCCCUCUGAAUAAAUAAAUUGCUAAACUUUUGAACUGCACACAAGCUCACCUACUGUUAAUAUUUUGUGAAUACGAAUGCUAAUAUUGAAUAUUUUGCGACUUUUACUUCAUGGGUUUCUUUGGUACUUUCUGGUGACUCACAAAGAACAUCCGGUUUCAUUGUAAUAAGCAAGUUUGUCAUUAACCAUCUACUUACUGGUUUUAGUAAAACGAGUUCGUUAUUUGUGCUGACUUUAGAUUUCAAAUAGCUACAGGUUGGAAAAUGGGAAUUUGUGGAGCAGUCUAUUUUCGCGAAUCGGUUCUUUUGAACCGGUUCGAAAACAGCAAUUCAGUGAAACCUUGAAGUUGCAUGCCAACCGCCAUUAUUAAAAUCUACAAGAAACAGCAAUUCAGUGAUCCUUUUACGUUAUGGUGCAAUUACGUCCAUGCAUCUAUAGGAGUAAUUCGUAACAUUUUUCGUAGGGAAGUUUGUUGUAAUGUGUCCCCGUUCAUAAAAACAUUAAAGUCCUUUAGGAUAUGCGUAAAUAAAACUUUCCUACGGUCGUCGUAAACAACUUUAACAUGUUUUCAUCGUCUAAUUAAUGUGAUGUUUCGCGAUGUAAGUAAAAACAUAUAUAUAAACAACGAGAUUUUGAUUCGAGAAAAACGUAGACUGAUUCGUACCGGCUUCAAGUGAUUCGUAGAAAUGAUUCACUUCAAAACAAAAGCACGGUUCUUUCACAUCGCGGGAAUUUCUGCAUGUUGUAUGUUCUGAGUUUUGGAAACACCCACUUCACAGGAGGAUUUGAAUAUGAUGUCAUGACAUCAAAAGGAGAGCGGCACACAAGCACGGGCACAGCUGUAAUAAAUCCCUAAACAAGCAAGACAAUCAUCCCUCCUGGUAAGAAAGACGGAUUUGUUUUCGCAUAUUUGGUCGUAUUUGAGGAAUUCCUUCUCAAAGUGACAUUCGGACAGUCCUGGACAUCCGCAGCGAAACAUGACUGAACUCGGCUUUCUGAAGAUCUGUUUAAUCGGAACCGCGUUUUCCUUUCUGCUGGCUCUAUUUGGGCUGGUUGAUUCGGUCGGAGGUCUGAUGUAUCCUCAAGGACCAGACUGGGCAGACGACAGCUGGACAGAGAAGCUUCCCCCUGGGUCUUCAUCACGGACAUCUGUGGCUGCCAACAACACCAAGCGCCACGAGUCGAGGUGAUCUUCUCAACUGCCAUCGGUGGCAAGUCUCUAAUUGCACUAGGAGAAAUAAUCCGUGCAUUAAUGUUACUGACCUACUAAAGCCUGCUGUGGAAUUAUUUCCUGCACUACACUACUGUGAGUCAGACAUGAAGAACAUCAAAAAGGGCUGAUCAUUCUACAAGCCAUAUGAGACGUCAAUUCUUCCCACUCAUUAGACAUUUUACUUUGUUAUUCUGGUUUCUGCAAAGAACUUGUCUGACUUCAUAAGAAGAAAAGCUUGCAAGAGUAGAAAACAAUAUCUUCAGGAAAGAUUGAAAGCUUAAAAAUACUACAAACAUGCUACAUGAUAUGCUUGACUGCUAGAAUCAAAAUAUUGAAAUCCCCUUAUGGUCAAAAAUGUUUUAUGUUUUUAUUAUGUGUGUUCCUUUUUUAUAUGAAGUCUAACACAAUGUUUGCAUAGAUUUGUGUAACAUGCUGUGUUCACCAUUAAAACAAAAAACUGGCAUUAGGCAGCAAAA